rnacentral:rRNA from 1 species
GUGUCAGCAGCCGCGGUAAUACGUAGGGUGCAAGCGUUAAUCGGAAUUACUGGGCGUAAAGCGUGCGCAGGCGGUUGUGCAAGACAGGUGUGAAAUCCCCGAGCUCAACUUGGGAACUGCACUUGUGACUGCACGGCUAGAGUACGGUAGAGGGGAGUGGAAUUCCGCGUGUAGCAGUGAAAUGCGUAGAUAUGCGGAGGAACACCGAUGGCGAAGGCAGCUCCCUGGACCUGUACUGACGCUCAUGCACGAAAGCGUGGGGAGCAAACAGGAUUAGAUACCCUGGUAGUCC